GGGUGAGUAACACGUGGGUAACCUGCCUGUAAGACUGGGAUAACUCCGGGAAACCGGGGCUAAUACCGGAUGGUUGUUUGAACCGCAUGGUUCAAACAUAAAAGGUGGCUUCGGCUACCACUUACAGAUGGACCCGCGGCGCAUUAGCUAGUUGGUGAGGUAAUGGCUCACCAAGGCAACGAUGCGUAGCCGACCUGAGAGGGUGAUCGGCCACACUGGGACUGAGACACGGCCCAGACUCCUACGGGAGGCAGCAGUAGGGAAUCUUCCGCAAUGGACGAAAGUCUGACGGAGCAACGCCGCGUGAGUGAUGAAGGUUUUCGGAUCGUAAAGCUCUGUUGUUAGGGAAGAACAAGUACCGUUCGAAUAGGGCGGUACCUUGACGGUACCUAACCAGAAAGCCACGGCUAACUACGUGCCAGCAGCCGCGGUAAUACGUAGGUGGCAAGCGUUGUCCGGAAUUAUUGGGCGUAAAGGGCUCGCAGGCGGUUUCUUAAGUCUGAUGUGAAAGCCCCCGGCUCAACCGGGGAGGGUCAUUGGAAACUGGGGAACUUGAGUGCAGAAAAGGAGAGUGGAAUUCCACGUGUAGCGGUGAAAUGCGUAGAGAUGUGGAGGAACACCAGUGGCGAAGGCGACUCUCUGGUCUGUAACUGACGCUGAGGAGCGAAAGCGUGGGGAGC
rnacentral:rRNA from 1 species